GACGAACGCUGGCGGCGUGCUUAACACAUGCAAGUCGAGCGGUAAGGCCCUUUCGGGGGUACACGAGCGGCGAACGGGUGAGUAACACGUGGGUGACCUGCCUUUAGCUCUGGGAUAAGCCUGGGAAACUGGGUCUAAUACCGGAUAUGACUCCAUGAUGCAUGUUGUGGGGUGGAAAGCCUUGUGCGGCUGGAGAUGGGCCCGCGGCCUAUCAGCUUGUUGGUGGGGUGAUGGCCUACCAAGGCGACGACGGGUAGCCGGCCUGAGAGGGCGACCGGCCACACUGGGACUGAGACACGGCCCAGACUCCUACGGGAGGCAGCAGUGGGGAAUCUUGCGCAAUGGCGAAAGCCUGACGCAGCGACGCCGCGUGAGGGAUGACGGCCUCGG
rnacentral:rRNA from 1 species